rnacentral:misc_RNA from 1 species
GAAAUGCGAUACGUAGUGUGAAUUGCAGAAUUCAGUGAAUCAUCGAAUCUUUGAACGCACAUUGCGCCCUUUGGUAUUCCAAAGGGCAUGCCUGUUCGAGCGUCAUUUGUACCCUCAAGCUUUGCUUGGUGUUGGGCGUUUUUGUCUUUGGCCCGCCAAAGACUCGCCUUAAAAUGAUUGGCAGCCGGCCUACUGGUUUCGCAGCGCAGCACAUUUUUGCGCUUGCAAUCAGCAAAAGAGGACGGCAAUCCAUCAAGACUCCUUCUCACGUUUGACCUCGGAUCAGGUAGGGAUACCCGCUGAACUUAA